GAGAGGGAGUCCUGACAGUUAUGGCUGAAUCCCACCUGAUGCUUCAUGGAGCCGCUCUGGAUCAGAGAGCUGGACGGAGCAGCGGACUGAUGCCCUGCAGCUGCAGGCGGACCGGAGUGGCUGACUCACUGGUUUCAGGGAAAAGAAGCGGCGCUGAUGUCAUCCUGACGGGCAGAGCGGUCCGGUGAACGCAGCGGGAUGGCGUCAGGUCCCAGACGCAUCACUCUCAGCUGACGGAGGUGCCAGGUGAUGUCAGCGCGGGAUGAAGCACCGGCCCCGGCUCAGCACUCUGGAGCUGCUUCACCCAAAUCGCAGCAGAACACAGAACGACGCUUGUAAAUGUGCGAUGAAGCUGUUACAGGAUCCUGUCACUUCACAACCACAAACGUCAAUAUAUGGAUCAGAUGUUGGCAUUUUAUGUGACAGACCAACACUGAGUAGAUUUUUUUUAGGCCGUAUUCAUAUUAAACCCACUUUACAGUAGCAGCAUUUUCAUUGACCAUAUCAUUGCACAAUUUGACAUUUCGAAAAAUAAAUUUGCUUAAUGGAAUCGAGCCUAUUUAGGAAAAACCCUUGUUUCCAAAAAAAUGUUUUGCCACUUGGAUGAGGUCGUUUUUCAGCCAUAUCAACAUUAGUUUAUUUCGUAAAAGUGAAAAAGAAACACUUUUUUGCAUCACACGAGUCACAUGAUCAACAACUGGAUGUUACUACUGCAGGAAACAGCAAAGAAGACAGGAAGCAGUGAUCCUCCAGAUCACGGCGCAGAAGGUUUUUAAUUACUUAAUGUCUGAACAAUCUUAUUUUUGUGUGAUUUUAAUUACAUUUCUUACUUAAUGGAAAUUAUAACAUAACAAAAUAUGAAAAAGUUUGAGUGUCAGUAUGUUUGCUACACACUGUAAUUAAUUCAAUUACAUCAUUUCCCAUUUU